rnacentral:misc_RNA from 1 species
GGAUGGAUCAUUAACAUACGUAUAAUCCAAUACCAAAUCUCCAUUUGUGAACUAUAUCCCCGUUAUUAUUCAGAAUGUAAGCAAUUACAUUUUGAGGUGAAAGCUGUAAAAAGCUCGAUCCAUUUACCCCCUUAUUUAUUUAAACCAAUUAACCAAAUGACUUACUAAUAUUUACUCUCUGUUCAGAAAUGUCAGAGAAAACUUCUAUACAACUGUUAGCAACGGAUAUCUUGGUUCUCGCAACGAUGAAGAACGCAGCGAAAUGCGAUACGUAAUGCGAAUUGCAGAAUUCAGUGAAUCAUCGAAUCUUUGAACGCACAUUGCACUCUUGCCCUUGCGGUAAGAGUAUGCCUCUUUCAGUAUCGGUUCUAAAACAUCAAUUUCCUAUCUCUUUCGGGGGAUGUGUAAGAAAUUGGAAUCUUGCGUUUUAGUCUUCGGAUUAUCUCGUUAAAUUUAUGUAGGGGUCGUUUCUCUUCUUUAUCGGAGGGAACUUACUUACUCUUCCUUCACUGAUGUGAUAGUUCGCCUUGUGCGAUUCCAUUCAUCAUUAGUUUGUAGCGAUUGGUACAAGAGACUUUCUAUUUGUUUGUAGUUGUUAUACUACUUACACCUUUUUUUUUGUUGUUGUUCGCAAGAAUGAUAAGAGAAAAAAAACCAUAUCUGAUCUGAAAUGAGGUAAGAUUACCCGCUGAACUUAAGCAUAUUAAUAAGCGGAGGAAAAGAAACUAACAAGGAUUCCCCUAGUAACGGCGAGUGAAGCGGGAAGAGCUCAACUUGAAAAUCGGACACCAGUUCGAAUUGUAGUCUAGCGACGCACGCUCAGUGAGGACCCGGGUCUAACCAUGCUCUGGGAAGGGCUGACAUAGAGGGUGACAUCCCCGUAUAUGACCUAGGAUCACCUUACGUACGAGUUGCGUUCAACGAGUCGCGUUGUUUGGGAUUGCAGCGCUAAUUGGGUGGUAAAUUUCAUCUAAAGCUAAAUAUCUGCGAGAGACCGAUAGCGAACAAGUACCGUGAGGGAAAGAUGAAAAGAACUUUGAAAAGAGAGUUAAAUAGUGCUUGAAAUUGCUAACAGGGAAGCGAAGAAAACCAGUGAUGUGUGUAGGUCCAAGGCUUGGCUGCUGAUUUGGUUAUCAGAUGGUUGGCAACUCCAUUUGGUGGUUCGAUGAAAGUAGUUGAGUUGGUACGCCUGCAUACGACUCAGCAUCAUUUUGGCUGGUGGGAGAAAGCUGUGCUUGGAGAUGGGUCAUUCCUGACAAGUUAGCCCUACCACCGGCUGGAUUGAGGAUCCUUUCAUGGAUACAAUUCGGUUGGACGUAAACUGUGGCCCGGGUGGAUCUCUGAGGAUAAGAGUAUUACUGUUACCGAGGAGUUGAAGCUUGAUGUCUUGUUGUCGAUCUGCGAAUUCGAGACUGUUGAGAAAAUGGUUUCCUUCGACCCGUCUUGAAACACGGACCAAGGAGUCUAACAUACAUGCGAGUUUUGGAGUGGCAAAUUCCGAGGCGCAAUGAAAGUAAAGGCAAGCGUGUGCGUUUGCUGAGGUGUGAACUCUGUAAAAAGGGGUGCAACAUCGACCGGUCAGUCAUUUAUGAAAGAUCUGAGUAAGAGCAUAUAUGUUGGGACCCGAAAGAUGGUGAACUAUGCCUGAGCAGGGCGAAGCCAGGGGAAACCCUGGUGGAGGCUCGUAGCGAUACUGACGUGCAAAUCGUUCGUCUGACUUGGGUAUAGGGGCGAAAGACUAAUCGAACUAUCUAGUAGCUGGUUCCCUC